CACUGUGCACAUUUUAAAUUUAAAAUUCUGCACUAUGUAGAUGUAGAGCUAAAAUCCCCAUUUAUUGUCCAGUGAAUGUGAGGGAAAUUGGAUUUGUCAUGAAACUGAUUGAUAUCUCUGAAGUGUUUUGUUUUCAGUGACUGGCACUGCCGAGUUACAACCAUCUAUCAUCUAACAGGUAAUUAGUCAGAUUUCUCAUCAUGAGCCUUCAAUCCUGCUGUUUUAUUAUUGAAAUACCGCAAACCAGUAGGCAAUUUGAAUGCAGAUAAAGUUCUCUGUCAUGGUUGCUGUAAAGACAAAGACAAGAUUUUGCAAUUCAGCAGUAGAGAGUUUGAAUAAAAGUCACUGAAAUAUAAUUUUGGGUCUUACAGAACCUAAAUAUAUAAAUUUACAUUGAUACCCCAUUUAUUGUCUAAAGUGACAACCAAGAAAUUUGCUUUUACAAAGCACCCUAAUGUUUUAAUAUGAACUUAAUUUUUCAAGUAGAAAGUUAAGUGGAAGAACAUUGAUAUUAUAAAAAGAUGAUACAAAUGAACUAAGUCUUGAAAAAGAAAAGGUCUUUUCCUUUUUCCAAAAUAUUUUGAGAUAUCAGAUUAAAGUAAUCUGUAAUUAAUAAUAAGUAAUAAUAUGAAAAGUUUACUCUUUUUUUCAGUUGCAUUUUUUUCAUAGGAAAGUUUAGAAGUUAAAGUAAUCAGAAAAUCAAAAGAUGAAAUCUUUGGUCACUGUUUCACAUGCUUUGUAUUAAACAAGACACGAAGACACUUUUGGGGACUUCUGUGGUUUAUGUAUUUGAGGCAAAUCAUUGAUAAUUAAAUAUAAUUUUCUUGACUGAAUUCAAAACCAUUUAUAUGUUUUAGAAAACUGGUUUUCAAAAUAGUUCAGCUUUCCAAAAAAUCAUAGUGUCACAGGACACCACAGUCACUAUUUCUUAAUGAAGUAUGAAUAGAAUGUCUCUUCUGUCAAACUCUUUGAUAUAGUAAUAAAUAUUGGGUUGUCCAAAAAGUUUGUUUACCUUUUUUUUGUAAAAUAAAAUAAACAUUUUUUAUUUUCACCAAUAAUUUUAUUUAUUUGAAUAUUUUGAGUAUGUCGACCAUCCUGUCUGGUAUAACAUUAGUUGUUCUCAAUUAAUGUCUCAAUUUGAUUGCUAUCAAUUUCUACUGCUCUACCUGAUUGCAAAGCACCAUCCAACAAAAAAUCACCAGCACGAAACUUUGCAAACCACUUCUGACACAUUUGAUCAGUUACAGCACCAUCUCCAUAUACUGUGCAAAUCUUUUUUUGUUUUUCAGUUGUGUUUUUACCUUUCUUGAAAUAAUAAAGCAUAAUAUGCCCCAAAUUUUACAUGUCUUCUCCCAUCUUCAACAUUAAGAUGGCCAAACAAAAAUUCACCAAUUUUGAUGUAUUUUCUUUUAAAUGCACACUGAUAAGACAGCUGUCACAAUGUAAUCU